rnacentral:rRNA from 1 species
GAUGAACGCUGGCGGCGUGCCUAAUACAUGCAAGUCGAGCGAACGGACGAGAAGCUUGCUUCUCUGAUGUUAGCGGCGGACGGGUGAGUAACACGUGGAUAACCUACCUAUAAGACUGGGAUAACUUCGGGAAACCGGAGCUAAUACCGGAUAAUAUUUUGAACCGCAUGGUUCAAAAGUGAAAGACGGACUUGCUGUCACUUAUAGAUGGAUCCGCGCUGCAUUAGCUAGUUGGUAAGGUAACGGCUUACCAAGGCAACGAUGCAUAGCCGACCUGAGAGGGUGAUCCGCCACACUGGAACUGAGACACGGUCCAGACUCCUACGGGAGGCAGCAGUAGGGAAUCUUCCGCAAUGGGCGAAAGCCUGACGGAGCAACGCCGCGUGAGUGAUGAAGGUCUUCGGAUCGUAAAACUCUGUUAUUAGGGAAGAACAUAUGUGUAAGUAACUGUGCACAUCUUGACGGUACCUAAUCAGAAAGCCACGGCUAACUACGUG